AUGUCAAAGGAACAAGGAGCAUAUUUAUUUUUUGACAACGCUUCUAGUGGGUCUUUAUUUAUUGUAUGGAAAAAAACAACAUUGGAUAAUGCCUUAAUUUUCGUAAAACCUACAAAAGCAGUUCCUGAGUUUAAGUAUACAAGCAAUUGUGGAAAAUCAGAAUUGUUAAGAAAUUUACAAUCUGAUAAGAAAUUAUUUUAUUCGGGCAUUUGUCGAUUUAUCAAAGAGGGAAGAGAUGUAAAUGGAGAGUUACUCUUAUUACCAUAUUUAAACGAUUCAUUCCCCAUAAAAACUAACAUUUAUUUUUUAAAAGAAAAUAAUGUCACGAAAGUUACUCCUGGAAAGUCUUAUACAUUAAAAGAUGUUGAAGCAGUAUGUGUUUUACCAAAUGGCUCAAAUGCUUUGAAUGUCAAAACUAUGAAAACGGAUAUGUUCGUGAGUAAAGGAAAUAGCGAAGGUGCUAGCAUUCGUUUUUAAAUAUAUACGUAUGCAUACACAUAGUUCAGUUUAUUUUUAGCAAAUAUAAAGUUUUAUAAAAUUUGAAAAAAAUUAUAAAAACAACAAAAAAAAGCUAAAAUAAAAAAAAUAUAUAUAUAAAUUUUGCA
ensembl:lncRNA